rnacentral:lncRNA from 1 species
AUUUCGACAAUGACCGGAGAGAAGUGGCCGGCCGGAUUAGAAGAAGGUAACUAUAUAAAUGAUAAACAUAAACAUUCAAAUUAAUAACUUAAUCAUACAUCAUACAACAAAUUAAUAACUAAUCAUACAUCAUACAUCAAAUAAUCAAAUAAUCAAAACCCUAAAUCAAACCCCCAAAAUCAACCUUCAAAAUAAUCAUCAAAUAAUAACAAUUCACGUAAUGAUUAAUCCCACAGAAACUUAAUAUAACUUAAUCACAACUUAGGAUCACAACUUAAUCACAGAAACUCUAAAUGAUUAAUCUCACAAUGGACUUGAAAACUCUGUCCAUUUUGAGAGAAAACUCUGUCCAUAUAACAAUAACAAUAACAAUUCAGUAAUUAACAAAAAUUCAGAACUUAAUAACUUGGUAAAUUCAGAACUUGAAAACUCUAAAUGAUUAAUCACAAAAAUUCAGUAAUUAACAAUAACAAUUAACUUAAUAACUUGGUAAAUAAUGAUACAUAUUAAGAACUUAAUAACCUUCACUAAAUGAUUAAUCUCACAGAAACUCUAAUAUAACUUAAUCACAACUUAGGAUCACAACUUAAUCACAGAAACUCUAAAUGAUUAAUCUCACAAUGGACUUGAAAACUCUGUCCAUUUUGAGAGAAAACUCUGUCCAUAUAACAAUAACAAUCAGUAAUUAACAAAAAUUCAGAACUUAAUAACUUGGUAAAUUCAGAACUUGAAAACUCUAAAUGAUUAAUCACAAAAAUUCAGUAAUUAACAAUAACAAUUAACUUAAAUAACAAAAAUAUAAUUACUGAAUAUAAUUAGUAAUUAUAUUCAGUAAAGUCACAAUAACAAACAUAAUAAACUUAAUAAUCAUUAAUCUCACAAUAACCUUCACUAAAUGGACCCCUAAAUAAAAAACCCUAAAUCAAAACCCCUAAAUCAAAACCCCAAAAUCAAACCCCCAAUAUCAAAAACCCCAAAAUCAAACCCCCAAAAUCAACCUAACAUCUAACCCCAAUAUAUAAAACAACAAAUACAUACAUACAUAGACAAUGUAGAAGAAUAGGAAAAGAUGAUACAAAUUUACAAAAUGGAGAAGAUGAGGAAGUAGAACAUGAAGUAGACAAUGUAGAAAUGGAGAACAUGAAGAGGAAGUAUAAAAUGGAGAUUAUUACCUUGGGGAGAAGUUACAAACGCCCUUGGGGAGAACUUUGAACACCUUGGGAGAAGUUUGGGAUAGUUGGGGAGAGUUUGGAGAGUUUGGGAGAGUGUGGAGUAGGAGGAAACCGUUGGGAGAAAUGAGAAAAGUCUGAAAAUUUUUUACUUAUAUAAAAAAUUUCCGACGGCCAGGCCGCCGGGAAACACUUAAGUUCGAGUUGACUAAGUUUGACUGUACGGGGGACCACGGCGGCGCAAGUUGUAAUUUUAGGGUUUCCAAAAAAUCCUGACGGCCAGGCCGCCGGCUACUGAAAAAAAUAAGCGGGAAAAAGUAUCCAGCGGCCAAGCCGCCAGCUAUUUUUCUUCCCGACCAUUGGGGAAAUUGGAGCUGGCGGCCAGGCCGCCGGAUCACAUCUUCCCGACCGUUGGUGAAAUUGAAGCUGGCGGCCAGGCCGCCAGAAAUUUUCUCUCAUUUACGAGGGAAAAUUAUGCAGGCGGACAAGUGUAACCUUCCGUCGGCCUGGCCGCCGGGAGAUGGGCGCCAGAACUGCGCUGGUUUUUU